rnacentral:misc_RNA from 1 species
GCCGGGGCAACGGAGGUCGGGCUCGAGUCGACGAUCGUCGCCUGCCUCGGCGAUACACCGCGGCUGCUGCGUCUAGGGGGCCUAACCCGCGACGAUAUCGAACGGGUGGUCGGCCCCCUCGCGGCCCCUGAACACGAGGCCGGAGCGGCUCCGCGCGCGCCAGGAAUGCUCGCCUCCCACUAUGCGCCCCAUGCUGCGGU